CGGUGCAAUUAAGCUUGUUGUUUCCCGAUUACAGCCGGUUUCCCGCGAACUCAAGCGGCCCUGGAGGAUGUCACACCGACUCCGGUCAUUGGUCAGGGGAAGCGGUGGGCGGAAACUCGUUGGUGAGUCAAGAUAGUUCACUGUAGCAUACUUCCGGUUCUUACGGGCCGAGUCGUUAUCAACGAUUUCUUGUGUUUUACCUCAAAGACCCCAAGAGAAGGGGGCGAACUGUCUUGACAGUCGGUUCACCAUCGCUUAUGAAAGAACAACCCCAGCAGUCAAUACAGCGCCAUCCUGCCGCCUUACUGUCGCCCCCACCAUCGUCAUGGAGACCAUACUCGUCACAAAGUCUGUCACCACCCAGUCACCAUGGCGCCCAACUUGGCCGAGACCCGACGGCGGCAGGGAGCACCUUGUCACCGUGGCAAAAAGAAACAGCAGCAGGGGAGAAUUCCCAUGCUGCUGGAGGUGAUGCUGCGGAGCAGCCGAGACAACCCACCAAUCACAGAGAGACAAUGACUGAUCUUCCUGGCCGCCUUACAGAACAUCAGUCAAACUGAGCUUUGUUAGCGCUGCAUUCCUGUGCAUUGUCCUCCUGUUUGCACUCUGCGACAAAACAAUGUUCAUUUCAUCUAUAUCACACGUGAUUCUAGGAUUUUCCUACUGUACACGCAUCCUUCCUCCGAUGCCGUAAUCUGUCCAUUUGUCUCAGGUGUGGUUUGACUAAAAGGUUUGAACACUGUUUUCUGUGGCAGCAGGAAUCAAUGGCCGCAGUCUACUUUGUGUGGGUCUGUCACAUUAGCACCGUGUUUUAAUUAAACUGAAGGAGACGUGCAGGAAGACAGGGGGACAAUGACUGAUCCCCAGGCUGCCGGACACGACGUUGUUCAGACAGAGCUUUGUUAGCACUGCCUGCCUUUGAAUUGUCCUGUCUACAACCGCUUAAUCAAAGGAUGCCAAUUAUAUCUCAGUCAUUUAGACAUAGAAUAUUAUGAACUACAUGACUGAUUAUUUGUCUUUGUAAAAACAUAGUUGAAACUCUACUCUGAUAACUGUGCAUAGUGCACAAACUGACCAGCCAAACCUUUAGCACUUACUUUAUGUAUUAGUGCAAGUGUGACAUUUUCCUUACAGUAUCAUAUUUGACAGCAGUUUGAGGGAUCAGUAUGUGUGAACAUUUGUUGGGAGAACACUUUCAGCCUAAUGAACAUGAAGAUACAAGCUGUCUCAACCAAACAACAUUAUGCCGAUGCGCAGGAGCGCGCAUGGACGAGGUGUAGUGCGACUUCUAAACUCAUUCAUGAAGUUAUCCGAGGAGAGGAGAGCCUAGACAGCAGGAGAAUGAAAAACUCGUUAAGCUAUUUUUUCUUCUUUCUUUUUUUCUUCUGGCAGACAAGCUCAGGCAACUGUGACUGUGUGUGUUUCUCUCUGUGUGUGUCCUGCCCUCUCUAUUCUGUAGACUGGCAGGGAAGUUGAUACGACUGAGAUAGGAAUGUCAGCGCAGGAUCAACACCCCUGCUGGUGGACACCAGUUGGGGGUCGGUCUCCUCUGGGACGCAUCUAAAUGUGUGUGUUUGAUAAGACAUGUGAAUAAGUGUGUGUGUGUGUGUGUGUGUGUGUGUGUGUGUGUGUGUGUGUGUGUGUGUGUGUGUGUGUGUGUGUGUGUGUGUGUGUGUGUGUGUGUGUGUGUGUUAUAGGGCCAGUGUCUGGGCCGUUUUGGGGGGAAGGGAGGUUAGAGCGGUGACAGGCUCAGCUGUGUUGAAUUGUGGGAGAAAAGAGCUGACGCGACGGGAGUUGAUGUCUGACAUGACCCCUCUCAGCAGGCACACCGCAGGGAGCUGGGAGCUGCCGCUGACUGAGUGUGUUUUUUGUGUCAACGUGUAUUUGUGUAAGUGGGAAAGUGAAGGAGAGACGAUGAGUUAUAAAGUGAGGAGCAACAACAACAGCAACAACAAAAAGGACGUUUCUUUUCGUCGCCCUGGUCCACUUUCACCACCAAUCCUGAUUUCUCUGACAUUCAGGGCAGAGUCCGGCUCUCCGUGAAACACCACCUUGAUGGAUGUGACACUGGACUUCUCCCGCGGUGUAACCCAAUCUUCUCCGGCCUUUCCUUCCUCCACCUUCCAUUUUCUCUCCCUCCAUAUCAUAUACCCCUCCUUGACCUUCUCGCUCUUUGUUGGUGUCCCCGUGCUCCCUCCUUCCCUCUCGCUCUGCCCUGCUCAGUCUCACCUGAGGCUUCAUUCAGGCUGGUAAAGUGAUCUUCGGGUCUAUGCUGCUGCGCUGCAGCUCGUUGUGCUUCCCAUUCAAAUCCAUUUCUCUUUGCCCGUUUUUGCGCUUCACAUUUUUUCCUGUCUCAUCUGUAUUUGUAUCGUCCGUCAAUUCUUUCUUUCCUCAUUUUCUUCCAUAUCAGUCAAAACAUACACACACACACACACACACACUCCAUCCCUUUCUAUUCACUGUCUCUCCUCUCUGGGUCCAGCACUUUGCCAUCAGUCUUCUGAUAAGUGCCCACAAAGCCCCCACUGUCUAGUGUGACCCUCUAUUCUUCUCCCAUCCUCUCUCUCUCCCUCUCUCUCUCCUUCUCUCUCCAUCCUGGAGCAGCCAAGCGUGAGGUAAAAGAGGAGGGGCAGUUUAUCUUGUGCACACACCCCAACUUGUUUUACCUUCACCCCUUCUUCUACUUUCCUCUCGUUCCCUCCAUCAAACUUUUUUGCCCUUACUCAUUUUAACUUCCAGCCACGACCUCUGCCUUUGAAGAACUUUCUGUCGUUCUUACUCUGGUCUCCGUCUGACUUUCCUCGGUCUGCAGGGAAGCCUUGCCCCUCCUCCCGCCCGCGCUCACAAUGGAUGCUGAUGCUUUUAAUGUGGGACAAUGGGGCAGAUCUGAAAGGUUAGCCAGCCCUUUGCACUGUAUCCCCAUGCACUCUCCACCCUCCACUGAUCCUUCUCUUUUCCCCCCACUGUCACCUACACCUGCCUCUCAUCUUGAUCCUUUAAUUCUUGUAAAUUUCUUAUUAUUUCUGUUUCUCCCCCUUACUGAUGUUGUUUCGGGAUCAUGUGCAAAAGGGAUGCAGCUAACAUGAAAAGCCUCAUGUGAUCAUACAUUUUGCUCGUAACAGAGAUCUGAUAACAAUAUGACCUAGUUCACGCCAACAAAAGAACUGCAUCAUCUCUAUAGUGAGAAUUUAAAAAAAAAAAAGCUACAGUCGGCCAACAAAAAAAGACGGACCCCCCAUAUUUUCCUGCAGCGCAAUGUGACAUCACCUGGCUGUGCAUCACAUGGGCCGAUCAUUUAUUGCAUGAUACAUUCAAGCAGAGGCACACUGGUGUACCAUUUAUGAACGUGUAAGACAACCUCAAAGAGGAGCCCGUCACAGUUGCUGAAUGAAAUGAUUUAGCCGUCAAACUCAUGGAUUUAUCACUGGAACUGAACAAUAGAGAUUUUUGAAAGUCACUCGACUCAUUCAGUCAGACUUUUCUUUUUUAGAACAAAUUUAAACUGCCUUCCAGAGUUUACACCACUGAAAAUGGCAUCUUUCUUCACCUCUGUUCGCAACCUAGUCCUGUCUGUGACUUCUUAUUUAAUAAAAAACUUUUUCAAGUUCAAGUUAUUUGUGCACGUGAAAUUAUUUUCUCUCUCGCUCCAAAUUCAAGUCUUGUCUUUCCCACCGUCUCUGCUUCAGCCCCCAGUCACUCCUGUCAAUCAGUGAACUAGUCGGUCGGUCGGUCGGUCCGCCGACCGUCACUCUGAACAUCUGAGUACUACUAAUGGAUCUCCUUGGCCACUUAACUGCCUAUCCUGCACUCUCUCUCUCUCUCUCUCUCUCUGAGUAUGAAUAGAAUAACCCUAAUGGUGCUUGUUUGCCACUCCACUGCUCUCCCUUAUCCUUGUAUGGCUUUAUCAUCGCUGAUCAGUGUACCUGGAGAUAAGUCUCUGUGUGAGGGUGCGGUAUCCUCUUCCUUGAGCUUUUAUCACUCCUGAUCAAUGUACCUGGAGUUCUCAGUCAGAGACCCCCUCCCAAAAGGUCAUGUUUUC
ensembl:lncRNA